rnacentral:tRNA from 1 species
GCAGAAAUAGCUCAGACGGUAGAGCGCAGGUUUGAAGAACCUGGCGUCGAAGGUUCAAAUCCUUCUUUCUGCACCA